rnacentral:rRNA from 1 species
GACGAACGCUGGCGGCGUGCUUAACACAUGCAAGCGAACGGUGAUGGCAAGCUUGCUUGUCUGAUCAGUGGCGAACGGGUGAGUAACACGUGAGCAACCUGCCCUCCUCUCUGGGAUAAGCCUUGGAAACGGGGUCUAAUACCGGAUAUUCACUGCUGCCUGCAUGGGUGGUGGUGGAAAGCUUUUGCGGUGGGGGAUGGGCUCGCGGCCUAUCAGCUUGUUGGUGGGGUGAUGGCCUACCAAGGCGAUGACGGGUAGCCGGCCUGAGAGGGCGACCGGCCACACUGGGACUGAGACACGGCCCAGACUCCUACGGGAGGCAGCAGUGGGGAAUAUUGCACAAUGGGCGAAAGCCUGAUGCAGCGACGCCGCGUGCGGGAUGACGGCCUUCGGGUUGUAAACCGCUUUCGGCAGGGAAGAAGCCGUAAGGUGACGGUACCUGCAGAAGAAGCGCCGGCUAACUACGUGCCAGCAGCCGCGGUAAUACGUAGGGCGCAAGCGUUGUCCGGAAUUAUUGGGCGUAAAGAGCUCGUAGGCGGUUCGUCGCGUCUGCUGUGAAAUCCUCAGGCUCAACCUGGGGCGUGCAGUGGGUACGGGCGGACUGGAGUGCGGUAGGGGUGACUGGAAUUCCUGGUGUAGCGGUGGAAUGCGCAGAUAUCAGGAGGAACACCGAUGGCGAAGGCAGGUCACUGGGCCGCAACUGACGCUGAGGAGCGAAAGCAUGGGGAGCGAACAGGAUUAGAUACCCUGGUAGUCCAUGCCGUAAACGUUGGGCACUAGGUGUGGGGUCCAUUCCACGGAUUCCGUGCCGCAGCAAACGCAUUAAGUGCCCCGCCUGGGGAGUACGGCCGCAAGGCUAAAACUCAAAGAAAUUGACGGGGGCCCGCACAAGCGGCGGAGCAUGCGGAUUAAUUCGAUGCAACGCGAAGAACCUUACC